GACGCAACCCCUGUCCUAUGUUGCCAGCAUUAAGUUGGGGACUCAUGGGAGACUGCCGGCGUCAAGCCGGAGGAAGGUGGGGAUGACGUCAAGUCAUCAUGCCCCUUAUGUCUUGGGCUGCACACGUGCUACAAUGGCCGGUACAAUGGGCUGCGGAUGGGGUGACCCGGAGCGAAUCCCACAAACCGGCCCCAGUUCGGAUCGAAGGCUGCAACUCGCCUUCGUGAAGUCGGAGUUGCUAGUAAUCGCGGAUCAGCAUGCCGCGGUGAAUACGUUCCCGGGCCUU
rnacentral:rRNA from 1 species